rnacentral:rRNA from 1 species
UACGUAGGGUGCGAGCGUUAAUCGGAAUUACUGGGCGUAAAGCGUGCGCAGGCGGUUCGUUGUGUCGGCGGUGAAAGCCCCGGGCUCAACCUGGGAAUGGCCGUUGAAACUGGCGAACUGGAGUGUGGCAGAGGGUGGUGGAAUUCCGCGUGUAGCAGUGAAAUGCGUAGAGAUGCGGAGGAACACCGAUGGCGAAGGCAGCCCCCUGGGCUGACACUGACGCUCAGGCACGAAAGCGUGGGGAGCAAACAGG